GCCGGGCAGGCCCAGUGGAAUACCAACGUUCUGUCACCUUAUCCCUCUUAUGUACAGCCCAACAACAGGACAGCCUGGAGAGGCCGUCACUCUGCACGUUCCUGAGAACAUUAAGGACAUCCUAUGAUCUGAGCACCAGCGGCCUAUGGAGAGUGCACAACCCUGAAUCCCCAGCAGGCCUCACAGGCUGCAUCCAACUAACCCAACAAUGGCCAGCUGUGGAUGGACAGUCCAAGAAUCCAGUACCUGCUGAGUCCCUCAGGGCUGGCUGGGUGUCUCAGCUGCUCUUCGGUAUAAACUGGAAUCCUGAAGAAGUAGGCGCCAAUGGAUGUGCUGGCAAAGUGAAUUCAAGCAGGUUAGGGCCUGCAUUCCUACCUUUUCCCAAAAGCAAAGCAUCUUAAAAGAAGGAAGGGUUUAUCUCCAUCUGAAGGAUGCAGUCUGUCACAGUGGGGAAGGCACCUUGGCAGCAGUGUGAGGCAGCUUGUCAUCCUGUAUCUCUGGUCAAGAAGCAGAGGAAGGUAACCAUUGGUGCUCACCUUGCUUCUGCCCCCUUCAUUUAGACUGGAACUCCAGCCCCUGAGAUGGUGCUGUCUGCGAUCCUUCAGUUAACGCUCUCUGGAAGUGCCCUCAAAGACACACUCAGCCAUGUCCUCUAGUUUUGGCUCUAAACUCCGUCACGCUGACCUUGAAGAGAAACCGUUACGAGGGCACACGUCACUUUUUAAAGGUUCCUGUGGUGGUCAGAUGUCUCUGCUUAUCUCAUCUUGGGGAGUCAGGCACUGACUCUUCUUCCCCAGGAUCUCACUAUCUGUCAGGGAGCUGUAAUGAAAAGUGGUUGAUGUCUUACUCGCAUGCGGCUGGUUCUUCCCUUCUUCCUAACUCUAGGUCUCUCACAAGUCUUUCUGUACCAGUCCAAAGGGACUAAGUUGUCCUUGACAAGAAAGGGGUGAAAGGAGCCCUCCCUUCAUGCGGAACAUGGGUGAACAGUAGUAGUUUGCCCCACCAGACGCCAUUGUAUCCCAGGGCUCAAGGAUGAAGGGGUGCUUUCGAACCCCACCCUCUGUCUGUGUACCUGUGCCCAUGCUGAUGUUAUUUAUGUUAGCCACCUUCAGGUCACUGUCAUAUGAAUGAACAGACACCCACCCACACACCAUGAAAUAUUGUUCAGUCUUUAAAACUGACAUUAGACAUAACCCAUCAUGGCAGGCAAGAUACAGAGGCAUGAGCAGCUGCACUGUGAUGGUGGUGAGUCAGGAAAUAGAAAGUACCAGAACUAGAGGUGGGGCAAAACCUCCAAAGGCUGCCUUGGUGACCAAGCAGCCGCUGCCUCCCAAAGGCUUUGGAGCCUCUCAAAACAGCACCCCUAGCAGGGGGACAAGUGUUCAAUAUAUGGGUCCAUAAUAAGACAUUUUAUAUCCCAACCAGAAGAGAGAGCUAACUAUAAAGUCAGGCCGCAUCUGAAGGAACCUGGAGAAGUCAGAAAAAAUAAAAUAAAAAAUAAAAUCCCAGUUCCAUCAAAUGGAACAGGCCCUGCCAUCUAGACUGGGGAGUGUAGGUUCCAGCCAGUGUCAUCAUCCCUCUGACAGUGUAUAGACAGGAGUAGGCCAGCAGAGCCAAGAGCUGCUGUACUGACCUCAGUAGAUGGGCAGCUGGCU
rnacentral:lncRNA from 1 species